GGGCCGCCCUUCCCCCACCCCCUCCCCCCCCCCCCGCGCACCGGAUCCGCACCCCGGGGUCCCGGCCCCUCCCCCACCCCCGAGGCCGCCGGGGGGGUCGCGGCCCCUCCCCCACCAUGAAGGACCGGACCCAGGAGCUCCGCAGCGCCAAGGACAGCGACGAUGAGGAGGAGGUGGUCACGGUCGACAGGGACCACUUCAUGGACGAGUUCUUCGAGCAGGUGGAGGGGAUCCAUUGAAUCGAUUAACUCGAGGACGGGUCACAGGUGAAGAAACAGCACAGCGCCAUCCUGGCCGCCCCCAACCCCGACGAGAGUGAGUUAAUUAGCUAAUUAAUUAGAUGAUUAAUUAAUGGGAUAGUUAUUGUGGUCAUUAAUGGGGUUAUUGGGUCAUUAAUGGGUCAUUAAUGGGUCAUUAAUGGGGUCACUAAUAAAGAGCACAGCGCCAUCCUGGCCGCCCCCAACCCCGACGAGAGUGAGUUCUAAUUAAUUAAUCAGCUAAUUAAACCAUUCAUUAAUUAAUUAAUCGAUUAUUGUGGUCAAUAAUG
rnacentral:lncRNA from 14 species